rnacentral:rRNA from 1 species
AGUGAACGCUGGCGGUAGGCCUAACACAUGCAAGUCGAACGGCAGCACAGUAAGAGCUUGCUCUUACGGGUGGCGAGUGGCGGACGGGUGAGGAAUACAUCGGAAUCUACUUUUUCGUGGGGGUUAACGUAGGGAAACUUACGCUAAUACCGCAUACGACCUACGGGUGAAAGCAGGGGAUCUUCGGACCUUGCGCGAUUGAAUGAGCCGAUGUCGGAUUAGCUAGUUGGCGGGGUAAAGGCCCACCAAGGCGGCGAUCCGUAGCUGGUCUGAGAGGAUGAUCAGCCACACUGGAGCUGAGACACGGUCCAGACUCCUACGGUAGGCAGCAGUGGGGAAUAUUGGACAAUGGGCGCAAGCCUGAUCCAGCCAUACCGCGUGGGUGAAGAAGGCCUUCGGGUUGUAAAGCCCUUUUGUUGGGAAAGAAAAGCAGCAGGUUAAUACCCCGCUGUUCUGACGGUACCCAAAGAAUAAGCACCGGCUAACUUCGUG